rnacentral:lncRNA from 1 species
GUCGUUGGUUCAUAUCAAUUUUCUUUUAUUUUGUUUGUCAAUGACACACAACCGGAAUGCGGCCUUGAAUAAAGUACAAAUAUUUGUUAACAGCGCGUCUGUCCUUGAUGGGGUUUCCCCAACUGAUACCCGUUACCAUGUGUAAACAGGUACAGUUAUAAUCUCGUUAUAAGCUCACGUUAUUAUUUCUAGAUGUUUCCGGGGUAGAAUUACAAUGACGAGUGUAUGGCAGUAAAAAUAUAAUAUAUACAAAUGCAAGAUUAUGUAAAAAUACUGUUUUAUACAGAGGUUGGUCUAGAUGACAUUUAUGCGUAAAUAUGUUUGAUUCAUUGAAUGCAAACGUAAAACGUAUAUCAUGCCAUAAAACUGUUUUAUAUUGCUUCAAAGUUUAUACCAUUACUAGCGAUAUACGAGUAUAAAGUGAUGACAGGCCUUCCGUACUACUUCAAGUUUCAUGAUCAUUUUUCAACUCAAUUUAAACAUGGAGUAGAUUUUAGUUAAACUCCCCUAAAUUUUUUGACAUAUCAUAUCAAUGAAUGCCUGUUAUUUCACUUAUUUUGACAUUUCAAUUGCAAAACAUGUGCUUUGCUUUCGAGUUUUCGCUUUAGGCUAAAUUGGGAAAUGUAUCUCCUGGAUUUAAGCUUUCAAAAGAACAUAUUAGCAGUUUAAAAUGUACUAAUUUCCUACCAUCAAUUUCAUAAGCUUUCAAAAGAACAUAUUAGCAGUUGAAAAUGUACUAAUUUCCCAUCAUCAAUUUCUAUCUUCAAUGAACUGUGUAGUUGAAUUCAAAAAAUAAUUAGGCAUAACAUUUAUAUGUGAUAAGCUUAUAGUUAAUGUGACCACACCUUCAUAAUAAACUUCCUUACCCCCCCCCCCCAAAAAAAACAACUUUAACCUGAUACGUGACUGAUUAACAGACGGAAGGACUAACGGGCGAAUUGACUUACAGACGCACAGACCAGUCAACGAAAAAGCCGCUGGGCGUAAUGUUCAACGCACAUGUGGAAUCUGAGAGCUGAUUUUGUUGAAAUCUUGCUAAAAUGUUUGACAUGUGUACAUGAAAGUAUUAUAUCCGACGAGGAGCAGGAUCUAGUUAAUACCCUUCAGGAGCACAUGAGAGAACCUCGAGUUUUGAUGGGGUUCGUGUAGCUCAGUCUUGAGCUUUCUAUGUUGUGUUUUGUGUACUGUUGUUUUUUUUUUCUUUUCUUGUUAAUCAUGGCGUUGUCCGUUUAUUUUUGACGUAUGAGUUUGAAUGUCCUUUAAGUUUUAGUAUCUUUUUCCUCUCUUGGUAUUCUUCAGUAUGUUGCAAAGGAUAUAAACCCCGCUUAAAUUGCAUUAUUUAUCCUUUUUAUAAUCUAUUCCUCUCAAUGACGUAAUACAACUGUCUGACGUAUUCGUUUAGAUACAAAUAUAUUAUUAAUUAUGUAAAGAUUUACGUGACUUUUAAAAAAGUAUGAAAUACAUUUAAAGAUGUUCUAUUUAUUGAACUUUUUACUUGAAUGGUUAAAUCGAACGAUC